UAUCUCCUUAUCUCGCCUAAAGUAAUGACCGGUUUUCAGCAGGCUGAAUGGGCAGCAGUCCUUAGCCAGUGGAUCGUUCUGCAGUGCAGCCUGGGAGGACUCGGCACAGAGCCACUAAAUUCAGUGCUUGCAAGUGUCCUAAGUGGGCAAGCGCAGUGCAGAGCACCAUGUGAGAUGGAGGAGCCAUACGGGAACACCUUAUGCAAGAGUCACCUGGGCACUGUUGAAGAGUCGAGGCGACUGCACUCUCAACGGCUUGACUCUGCUUUCUGCUGAAAUGGUGGACCAGUUUGAGGAAUGGGAACAGUGGCGUGACUCCGAAAGCCUGAGUCUGCUGUACACGUUGGCCACCAAGGGAAGGCUACAGGCUCCCAAGGCAGCGAUAUAUCAGGGGGAUACAGUACAGCUGGUGCCCAGAGGGAAUCAGCUAUGGGAGGCUUCAGUCAGGAGGAGCCAGGGCUGAUGAGGCACUCUUGUAGCUAUGGGGCAAGCACGAGGAGCCUGUGGUUGCUUGCUGUACAUCUUUCAGCUUUCCUAGGGAUGAAAAUGCUCAUUAUACAAUCCUGCAGCACUAAGGACGGGUCUCAUCCCAGAUGCUCACCCACACCUAGCUAGAUGUGCAGUCAGUGAGUUUUGGGUAUCCACCCACCUCUGCCUCCUGACCCCUGCCAAGAACUGAGUUUCCAAGUAUGCCCAUCAUACCUGGAUUUUCACACAGGUACUGGGGAUCAAACUCAGGUCCGUGUGCUUUACCAAGAAAGCCAUCACCCAUCACCCUGCCCUCUUUUUCACAUUUUGUCUUUAUGUUUCUACAUCAACAACAAUGCUGGUAGGAUUAUCAGACCCU